AUGUUUCAGAAGAUAAUUGAUACAUGUUUGGAAAAAAAAAAAAAAAGAAGAAGAAGAAAAAAAAAGAAAAUGCAUGUUAAAAAUACAGGUGCUCCUCAAAGGAAGUGCUGGGGUGUUUUUGGCUUCUCUGUUAUUACAGCAAUGAGGCACUACCUACAGUCUAUGAUGUGGGUGCCAGCAUAUGAAGAACCAGCCAGAGGCACACCUGGAAAAAAUGCUUCCUGUAUUAGUCCCACACAAGAGCAUUAUCCGCAGUAACCUUCUUUGGAGACUCUGAGACACCGUGACAGACAUUAUGGAGGAAAAUCAUGGCAUUUUGAAGCUGCACUGCUGCCAUUACAGAAAAUAAAUGGAAGGGGGAAGACA
rnacentral:lncRNA from 1 species